AGAGUUUGUAUCCUGGCUCAGGAUGAACGCUGCGGCGUGCUUAACACAUGCAAGUCGAACGGACUCAUAUUGAAACCUAGUGAUUUAUGAGUUAGUGGCGGACGGGUGAGUAACGCGUGGAUAACCUGCCGUAUACCGGGGGAUAACACUUAGAAAUAGGUGCUAAUACCGCAUAAGCGCACGGCUCCGCAUGGGGCAGUGUGAAAAACUCCGGUGGUAUACGAUGGAUCCGCGUCUGAUUAGCUAGUUGGCGGGGUAACGGCCCACCAAGGCAGCGAUCAGUAGCCGGCCUGAGAGGGUGGACGGCCACAUUGGGACUGAGACACGGCCCAAACUCCUACGGGAGGCAGCAGUGGGGAAUAUUGCACAAUGGGGGAAACCCUGAUGCAGCGACGCCGCGUGAGUGAAGAAGUAUCUCGGUACGCAAAGCUCUAUCAGCAGGGAAGAAAAUGACGGUACCUGACUAAGAAGCCCCGGCUAACUACGUG
rnacentral:rRNA from 1 species